rnacentral:rRNA from 1 species
AGCCGCGGUAAUACGUAGGGGGCGAGCGUUGUCCGGAAUUACUGGGCGUAAAGGGUGCGUAGGCGGCCUAUUAAGUUGUGUGUGAAAGACUGGGGCUUAACCCCAGGGUUGCAUGCAAAACUGGUAGGCUUGAGUGCAGGAGAGGAGAGUGGAAUUCCCGGUGUAGCGGUGGAAUGCGUAGAUAUCGGGAGGAACACCAGUGGCGAAGGCGACUCUCUGGACUGUAACUGACGCUGAGGCACGAAAGCUGGGGGAGCAAACAGGAUUAGAUACCCUGGUAGUCCCAGCCGUAAACGAUGGGUACUAGGUGUGGGUGGCGACAGUCAUCCGUGCCGUAGUUAACGCGCUAAGUACCCCGCCUGGGGAGUACGGCCGCAAGGCUGAAACUCAAAGGAAUUGACGGGGGCCCGCACAAGCGGUGGAGCAUGUGGUUUAAUUCGAAGCAACGCGAAGAACCUUACCAGGGCUUGACAUCCCUUGCCAGUCAUGGAAACAUGACUUCUUCUUCGGAAGCAAGGAGACAGGAGGUGCAUGGCC